ACUUCAUCCCUAUAUUCCUAGGUCCAUAGUUUUUCCGAAGUCGUUGAUACUCCAUCUCAACGACUUUCAACGUAAUUUUUUCGUAUUACGCGUAACAUUUUUGAUUUUAUUCAAUUUAAAUAAAUAUAUAUGUACGAUAGAAAGGUGAUCUUUAUGUUGUCAAUUUGCAAACAACGAACAUUCAAAUGGUGUCGGGUACAGUGCAAGUAACCAACAUUUUUUCGAAGAUGCUGCUAUAUUUUCAAAUUGCAUAAUGCGAGAGAUCGCGUUCGAAAUAAAUGUCAAUUUUUUUCAAACAAAGAUUAAGAAUUUUUUUCGAUUAUCGUGCGUAAUUCAAAAGAUGUACUGAACCAUUUUAAGUUUUCCGCGAGUCGUUCAUUGGUUUUGAUGACCGUUGUGAUUUUUCCGAAUGGCGCAUGCACGGCUCAGCUGUGUGCAAUCGCGACCAAUCGUUUAAUAGAAAAAAUGGAUGGAGUACGUGAUGAAGACAGGCGCAGGCGCCUGAGGGUAUUGGAAGAACGUAUAAGAGAUCCAAGAAGCAUUACAAAUAUUGAUUGCCUUUUGGAUACAGUUCAAGCCCUGGUGGCAGAUUGUGAUCAUCCCAGUGUAAAGCGUAUGAAAAAUAUAGAAGCAUAUAUGAACAGAUAUGAUUCGGUGGCUCAGGAUAUUUGUAAAAUGCGAAUGCGUACAGAUGACUUCACUUUAAUAAAAGUGAUAGGUCGGGGAGCAUUUGGAGAAGUACAGUUGGUACGACAUAAAUCCACACAGAAAGUAUAUGCUAUGAAAUUACUGAGUAAAUUUGAAAUGAUUAAGCGAUCAGAUUCAGCCUUUUUUUGGGAAGAACGUGAUAUAAUGGCACAUGCUAAUUCCCAGUGGAUUGUUCAACUUCAUUUUGCGUUUCAAGAUCAAAAAUAUCUUUAUAUGGUGAUGGACUAUAUGCCGGGUGGUGAUUUAGUAAACUUAAUGUCAAACUAUGAUGUGCCAGAGAAAUGGGCAAAAUUUUAUUGUGCAGAAGUGGUGCUCGCAUUAGAUGCAAUACACCUUAUGGGGUUUGUCCAUCGAGAUGUAAAGCCAGAUAACAUGUUACUAGAUAAACAUGGUCAUUUAAAGCUUGCAGAUUUCGGCACUUGCAUGAGAAUGGAUGUUGAUGGACUUGUUCGAUCUGAUACUGCAGUAGGUACACCUGAUUAUAUAUCACCUGAAGUGCUCCAAUCCCAGGGUGGUGAAGGUGUAUAUGGAAGAGAGUGUGAUUGGUGGUCAGUAGGAGUGUUCUUGUACGAAAUGCUUGUUGGUGACACACCUUUUUAUGCAGAUUCAUUAGUUGGAACAUACUCAAAAAUUAUGGAUCAUAGAAAUUCAUUACACUUUCCUCCAGAAGUUGAUAUAUCUCAUUCGGCUAAGAACUUAAUAUGUGGUUUUCUUACUGAUAGAACAAAACGUUUAGGAAGAAAUGGCGUAGAAGAAAUAAAAAAUCAUCCGUUCUUUAAAAAUGAUCAAUGGACAUUUGAUAAUUUGCGGGAGUGCGUGCCACCAGUGGUACCAGAACUUUCUGGGGACGACGACACUAGUAACUUUGAUGACGUUGAUAAAGAAGAUGGACCAGAGGAAAGUUUUCCGGUUCCGAAAGCGUUUUCUGGAAAUCAUUUGCCUUUCAUUGGCUUCACGUAUUCUGGAGAUUAUCAGUUAAUGGCUUCUAGCGGUAAAGAAUCGGUAGAUGGAUUAGAAAAUCAUAUCAAUAAUGGUACGAGCGAUGAUGUUAAAAUUUCACAGUUAGAAAAUUUAUUGGAUAAAGAGAGAAGACAAGUAGAAUCCUUGGAAUCACGACAGAAAGCUUUGACAACGCAGUUAGAAGCUAUGACGCGUCGAGAAACUGAAUUACGUGAAGAAAUAGGCAGAGUAGAUAAGGAAUUGACUUUGUUAAGACACAAUUAUAAAGAAGCGCAACGCAGGGUAGAACAUGAAACAGAAACUCGUAGAAAAGCGGAGUCGUUAUUUGUAGAAUUGAAAAAGAAAUUCGAUGAAGAGCAGACAAAAAGAGCGCGCGAUGCGAGUAAUUCGCAGCAAACUUCUGAACGCGUUACAACGUUAGAAAAACAGAUUAAGGAGAUGCAAUCAAAAUUGGAAAGGGAAACUGAAACUGUAACAAGGUUGCGGAAACAAGCUACAGAGAUUACCGUCGUUCGUCAGGCAGCAGAGCAAAUGGCAAGUGAGUUACAAGUGGCAAGAGCUCAAUUGCAGGCACAACGAGAUAAUUUACAACAAGAAGUGGCUACAUUACAAGGACAACUAUCGAAAGAACGCAGUUCUCGAUCGCAAGCAUCAUCAUUAACUGCCGAAUUAGAAACUCGCCUUUCUGCUCUUCAUCUCGAACUCGAACAUAGCCGCGAAAAAGAGGAAAAAGCACUUUUGGAUAACAGGCAAUUAACAGAAAGAAUUUCGGCAUUAGAAAAAGAAGCUGCUAGUCUGACUCUUGAAUUGAAAGCCGCGCAAGCGAGGUACAAUCAAGAAGUAGUCGCUCAUCAAGAAACGGAACGUUCACGCAUAUUAUCCAAAGAAGAAGCUAAUCUAGAGGUUGUUAAAGCAUUACAAGCAAAACUAAACGAAGAGAAAAGUGGAAGGCAACGCGCUGAACUUCUUGCACAAGAAAAGGAAAGGCAAACUUCUAUGCUUUCUGUGGAUUACCGACAAAUACAGCAACGAUUACAGAAAUUGGAGGGUGAACAUAGGCAGGAAGUUGAAAAGGUAAAGGUGCUACAGGGUCAGGUUGAACAGGAACAGCAGAAAAGAAACGUUCUGCAGACGGAUUUAGCACAGCAGUCAUCCGAAGCAGGGCGAUUACGUGCUAGAGAACAACAGUUAGUUGGUGAAGUUGCCCAGUUACGAGAAGCAAAACGACAGAUAGAAGAAGAAUUACAUCAUUUGAAAACGCAGAGAAACGUGGAUCAAUUACAGACAAAGGAAUUACAAGAACAGUUAGAAGCAGAAGCUUACUUUUCGACUCUUUACAAAACACAGACACAAGAACUUCGAGAAGAAUUGGACGAGAAAAUACGGUUACAACAAGAAUUGGAAGAAGAACGCGCUUCCUUAGUACAUCAGUUACAAUUAUCUUUAGCUAGAGGAGAUAGUGAAGCUUUAGCAAGAUCAAUAGCUGAAGAAACAGUGGCAGAUCUUGAGAAGGAACGAACAAUGAAAGAAUUAGAGUACAAAGAUGGUGUGGCUAAACAUCAUCAAGAAUUAAAUUCAAAAGAACAAAUUAUAAACCGACUUAAAGAUAACGAAAGUGAACUUAAGAAAAGUGUUGACCAGUAUCUUAAAGAGAAAGAUGAUUUUAGUAAACGAUUGAAAGAAUUACAAGAUCAACUUACUAAAGCACAAUCUAAUGCAGAGGAAAUAGAAAAGCUUAGUAGUAAAUUAAAAACUGAACAGUUACUGAAGCAACAAGCGGUUAAUAAGUUAGCAGAGAUUAUGAAUAGGAAAGAUUUAUCUUCAAGUGGCAAGACCAAGAACAAAGCAUCUGCGGCAGAUCUAAGAAAGAAGGAGAAAGAUUGUAGACGUUUGCAACAAGAACUUACUCAAGAGAGAGAAAAGUAUGGACAGUUGGCAGCUAAGUGGCAAAAGGACUUGCAAGAUUUACAAGCACAACUAGUGGAGGAGAAUCAAACAAAAUUAAGAUUACAAAUGGAACUUGAUUCAAAGGAUUCAGAGAUAGAAACAUUACAAAUGAAAAUCGCCUCACUUAACUCGGAAACAGCUAGCGUUUCUUCGGUAGAAAAUGACGGAGAAGAUUCCGUUUUAUCAGAGCAUGGUACCAUGAGAUUGGAAGGUUGGUUAAAUGUGCCAAACAAACAGAACAUUAAAAGGCACGGAUGGAAGAAACAAUACGUCGUCGUUUCUUCGAAGAAGAUAAUAUUUUAUAAUAGCGAAAACGAUAAAAUAAAUGCGGAUCCAGUCUUGAUACUAGAUCUAAAUAAAGUCUUCCACGUUAGAUCUGUGACUCAGGGUGACGUUAUCCGAGCUGAUGCCAAAGAUAUUCCGAGAAUUUUCCAGUUAUUGUACGCUGGUGAAGGCGAAGCAAGACGUCCUGGCGAUGAGGGAAAUACACUGCCUGGAGUGGAAUUGCCACAACUUGCAGAUAAACCAGGCACACAAUCAUUAAAGGGCCACGAGUUUGUGUCAAUCUCGUAUCAUAUGCCGACUACUUGCGAGGUAUGCUCCAAACAAUUGUGGCACAUGUUUCGACCGCCACCGGCUCUCGAGUGUCGAAGGUGUCAUAUAAAGGUACACAAGGAGCAUUUGGAUAAGAAAGAGGAUGCCAUAGCACCGUGCAAAUUACAUUACGAUCCAAACAGUGCCCGUGAACUAUUAAUAUUGGCUGGUAGUCCUGAUGAACAGAAAUAUUGGGUCGCAAGACUGUCGAGGCGUGUACAAAAAUGUGGCUACAAGGCGAAUUCGCAUGUCGACGGCACGGGGCAGCGUGUCUCGCCAAGGUAGCGUAGCCGUGCGACUCAACGUAACUGGAGACUAAGUAGCUCUCUUGUAUUGUGGCAUCGCAUGAUUGGGUGUAGCGAGGGAAUCUACGAGAUCCACCUUGAAGCCAUAUUUAUCGGUGCAACAACGAUCCGCGACCCUGCCAGCGAACGCCAGCAUGGGCAAGUG
rnacentral:misc_RNA from 1 species